GGAGCCUUUUUCAAAAUGUGGCGGUGGCAGGGAAGGUUGUCUGCUCCAGAGGCUUCCCUAGAGUGAAGAGCUCUACUAUGUAUGCUUUAUGCGGCAGAAGGAGUGCUUUGGAGGAGUUUUUAAAUUUGUUUUUUUUUUAAAUCUUAUCGGUUUUAAUUGUAGCAAUGAUUCAAGAAACGUUAGUAGGUGCCCAUAACUUCGGUGGUGGAGAUCCAAAAGUGAACAAGACAGUGUUCUGGCUGCUAAAUUCUUCUUAACUGGUUAUGCCUGGAGACCUUCACUUGGUUCUGUGCCAGCACUGCCCAUGAACUUCAUAGACUGUGAUCUUUGCUAAGGCCUAAAUGAAUGAAGUGCAGGUGCAGGACCGGAAGCAGAAGACAGAAAGUGGAGACCAGAUGUUUGAAGCUGGGUAAAGGCAGGGAUGGAGCAGGAACCGAGGAACAAACCUUGGAACUAGAGUCUGAUGCUUGGCUGUCUGAAACCUAUUCCUGAAAUGAAAACUGUGAGAUCACAUAUCCAGCAUUGUUUCUCAAAUAGAACUAGAAAUAAUAGCCUAAGAAAUGUACCAUCAGCUGGAACUGGAAAGAAUUGUGAUACUUGAAGAGACUUAGCACUUGGUGGACUAUGAUUUUCUAUCAAUCAAGUCAAGCACUGCUACCCAGUCUUCACUACAGAGUGCACCGGAAAGAAUGAUCCAGCAGUAAAAUGCUUUAUGAACUAUCCAUAUGGAAACCAUUGGCAAUAACACAUCCUGGCAUAUGGUAAGUGACGUAUAUACACAUAAAAAUAAGAACUGUAAA
rnacentral:lncRNA from 1 species